rnacentral:rRNA from 1 species
GGGGGGACUAAUAAUGCAGUCGAGCGAACUGAUUAGAAGCUUGCUUCUAUGACGUUAGCGGCGGACGGGUGAGUAACACGUGGGCAACCUGCCUGUAAGACUGGGAUAACUUCGGGAAACCGAAGCUAAUACCGGAUAGGAUCUUCUCCUUCAUGGGAGAUGAUUGAAAGAUGGUUUCGGCUAUCACUUACAGAUGGGCCCGCGGUGCAUUAGCUAGUUGGUGAGGUAACGGCUCACCAAGGCAACGAUGCAUAGCCGACCUGAGAGGGUGAUCGGCCACACUGGGACUGAGACACGGCCCAGACUCCUACGGGAGGCAGCAGUAGGGAAUCUUCCGCAAUGGACGAAAGUCUGACGGAGCAACGCCGCGUGAGUGAUGAAGGCUUUCGGGUCGUAAAACUCUGUUGUUAGGGAAGAACAAGUACGAGAGUAACUGCUCGUACCUUGACGGUACCUAACCAGAAAGCCACGGCUAACUACGUGCCAGCAGCCGCGGUAAUACGUAGGUGGCAAGCGUUAUCCGGAAUUAUUGGGCGUAAAGCGCGCGCAGGCGGUUUCUUAAGUCUGAUGUGAAAGCCCACGGCUCAACCGUGGAGGGUCAUUGGAAACUGGGGAACUUGAGUGCAGAAGAGAAAAGCGGAAUUCCACGUGUAGCGGUGAAAUGCGUAGAGAUGUGGAGGAACACCAGUGGCGAAGGCGGCUUUUUGGUCUGUAACUGACGCUGAGGCGCGAAAGCGUGGGGGAGCAAACAGGAUUAGAUACCCUGGUAGUCCACGCCGUAAACGAUGAGUGCUAAGUGUUAGAGGGUUUCCGCCCUUUAGUGCUGCAGCUAACGCAUUAAGCACUCCGCCUGGGGAGUACGGUCGCAAGACUGAAACUCAAAGGAAUUGACGGGGGCCCGCACAAGCGGUGGAGCAUGUGGUUUAAUUCGAAA